CAAACCUCAUGUCAGGUAAGAGGACCCGCUGAACUUAAGCAUAU
rnacentral:rRNA from 1 species